GACGAACGCUGGCGGCGUGCUUAACACAUGCAAGUCGAACGGUGAAGCGCCUUCCUUUUUGGUGGGUGUGGAUGAGUGGCGAACGGGUGAGUAACACGUGAGUAACCUGCCCCCUUCUUCUGGAUAACCGCAUGAAAGUGUGGCUAAUACGGGAUAUUCUGGGUCUGUCGCAUGAUGGGUCUGGGAAAGAUAUUGUUUCGGUGGGGGAUGGGCUCGCGGCCUAUCAGCUUGUUGGUGGGGUGAUGGCCUACCAAGGCGGUGACGGGUAGCCGGCCUGAGAGGGUGGACGGUCACACUGGGACUGAGACACGGCCCAGACUCCUACGGGAGGCAGCAGUGGGGAAUAUUGCACAAUGGGCGCAAGCCUGAUGCAGCGACGCCGCGUGAGGGAUGGAGGCCUUCGGGUUGGGAACCUCUUUCGCCAGUGAAGCAGGCCUGCCUCGUUUGUGGGUGGGUUGACGGUAGCUGGAUAAGAAGCGCCGGCUAACUACGUGC
rnacentral:rRNA from 1 species